rnacentral:tRNA from 1 species
GGGGGUAUAGCUCAAUUGGUAGAGCGCUUGCUUUGCACGCAAGCGGUUAUCGGUUCAAGUCCGAUUUCCUCCA